rnacentral:rRNA from 2 species
UGGGGAAUAUUGGACAAUGGGCGCAAGCCUGAUCCGGCCAUGCCGCGUGGAUGAUGAAGGCCCUAGGGUUGUAAGGUCCUUUCGGCGGGGAAGAUAAUGACGGUACCCGCAGAAGAAGCCCCGGCUAACUUCGUGCCAGCAGCCGCGGUAAUACGAAGGGGGCUAGCGUUGCUCGGAAUCACUGGGCGUAAAGCGCACGUAGGCGGCUUUUUAAGUCAGGGGUGAAAUCCUGGAGCUCAACUCCAGAACUGCCUUUGAUACUGAGAAGCUUGAGUCCGGGAGAGGUGAGUGGAACUGCGAGUGUAGAGGUGAAAUUCGUAGAUAUUCGCAAGAACACCAGUGGCGAAGGCGGCUCACUGGCCCGGUACUGACGCUGAGGUGCGAAAGCGUGGGGAGCAAACAGGAUUAGAUACCAUGGUAGUCCACGCUGUAAACGAUGGAUGCUAGCCGUUGGCAGGCUUGCCUGUCAGUGGCGCAGCUAACGCAUUAAGCAUCCCGCCUGGGGAGUACGGUCGCAAGAUUAA